GGGCCUUUCCUAGGCCGGUGCCUCGCCCUCGGGAGCCCCUAGGCCGCUGGAGAGGAGCAGCUUGGAUUUUUGCCCCAGGCUCCUUGGGGUGCUUUCAGCCAGCACCCGCUUUUUUUUUUUUCAGGAGGGUCCCCCAAAACGGGCAGCAGCACCACAGACACCGGAGUCUGGCCGGGCUGCCACCCCCAGAGAGCCUGUAGCUGUGUCCCUGCCACCAUUACCCCAAACAAGCAGCAUCAAACAAACGAUGGGAAUAAUAAGAGCCUGCAUUUAUUUUCUAAUCUGAUACUUUCAGGUCCUAAGGUGCAGAGGUGUAACGGGGUGGAAGGACCGUGAGAGAGGGACUGAGGAAUGAACAAGGAAGAAGUUACAUUUGCAACUGAGAUAAGUGUUGGAAAAAGAAAAAGAGCCAUAAUCAUGUUACCAGCCAACGCUCCACUGACCCAUGAUACAGGAAACUACAGAGGAUUAGGAACACUUUCCCUGGUUGCUCAGGCAAGAGCAAGGCACGGAAAUAUGAAAAGUAGCUCAUUCCUCUUCAUUGAAACAUGUCCUCAGAUGCCAUACGGGACGGUUGAUCUUCCUAAACAGACACUGUCUUUCCACUAUCAACCUGCUACAUUUCUUGCUAUUUUGAGUUCCUGGCUGGUACAUACAACCGAAACCAAACACAGGCACACCUCCAGGGUUCCUGGGCUUGCAGAGCACAGCUCCCCACAUUUGUCAGGAUAUUGGGAGUUGCAGAAGAAAUAGUGUUUGGCUCUUGGACAGUGCGCUGUCACUGCAUGGGGUUGGUGGGUGAGUGAAUGAAACCACAGCGUGGAGCCCACACACCAGCUGUUGAGAUUGCUCUCGCCAUUUCAGAGCAUUCAGUGGGAGCUCUCCAGAGAAACCCAGUCCCUGAAACACACAAUAUUUUCUGGAAGUAUAUUCAGCAGAAAGACUGAUACCAAAGAGACUUUACAUGCUAUCCCUGAAAUAAGUGGGACUAAUAUUUGGUCUCCCCAAGAGCAAAAUCUACAUAUCCCACUCAGCUGUGUUCACACUUGCUCUUCUCACACCUGUUUGUAUUCGAAGGCCUCGGUGCCUCUUCUGUGCUCAUCCUCUGGUCACACAGACGAUUCCCAAAGGGCAUCUUGGGCUAUUCUUUAAAACUAUGGAGGCUCCUUGUCAACUACUCAGUACAUUAUCAUGAUGUUUUCUCCCUCAGCCAUCAUUAGAGAGAGCCAGCAAACUCCAAUCCUCUUCAGGUCUGCCUAUCCCUUUUUUGAAGAGGGGCAUGAUGAUUAAGAAAUCACACAGUAAAUUCCCAGUUAAAGUGGUUUCCGAGUUCUGUCUGAAAAGGUUCUUCACCUUAACAGAUGACUUUCUGAAAGAAAACUCUAUACUCCAAAAGUCUCCAUAGAUUUACUCAACUUUUCUCUACAAGAUGAAGCUUUUAAGACUCCUCUGCCUCUCUACAUCCACAACUACAUGUAGUCAGGAGGCCAGCCUGCCUCACCCACAGUCCUCAGACACCUCCCUGUGUGUUCACACACACUCACCUCGAUGAUGACCCUCCACUGCUGAACACCAAAUCUCAUUUUACCAGGGCACAGGCAGCUCUAAACAUCUGCAGCUCUCCAAGAUAUUUAUGGCAGCUGCAGAGAGCUCUGUUAACUCUGUUACACAGUGGACAGGGCAGCCUAGUUAGAUGCCAGGUUCAAAAAGGACAAUAUGUCAACUGCUUUUUGACUGAUGUAUCCGGAACUUCUCCCACCAUUCAAGGGAAAUCCAGGUUGUCUCACACUUAGGAAGAAGAAAGGAUGGUCCCUUGCUCCCAUCAAGCUGGGGUUCUUCAAGACAAGAGUCAGCAGGACACCACUGCAUAUCCUCCAGCCCAGCUCUUCAGAGUGCUUUGUAACAAUACCACUGAAUUUCAAGGGACUUGAUGGAACAUCACAACGGUUCUGUGCAGAGUGAGGCAGAGGGCUGGUAUGUGGCUCAGAGAGAUAGGAGCGGAGAGAAACCACUUCUCGUCAGCGUGGAGCAUCUGUGCAGCUGCAGCAGGAUAACAUCAACACCAGCGUAUCAAAAAGGUACCGUUGCUGGAGGGUCACCCCGAGCACUACACUACGCUGUAUGACUGGUUGUGGGGCGUCCUAAUAUAUAUUUAAAGAUUUUUUUUGUGGAAGUGAAGCAUGCUUAUUCAUAUUUCGAGGAAUAAAGGCCUGUCAGAGGAAAAAAAAAAAGAAAAUCUAUUGUGUAGCACUGCAGAGGGAGGAUAAAUAACCCCCAAAGACCCCAUUGUACUUUGAAACUUGGGCAAUUAACUGUUUAGCAUAUGAACAAUGAGAAUUUCCAAGCAUAGAGGAGGAAGGGAAAAAUUCUCCAAAAUCUACUGUCCGAUCUCCUGGUCUCACAAGUGACAAAGGACCAUGACAUCACCUCAGGUCAAGACCCAGCAGUUAUGUUGCUUUAGAAUAAGCCACAUGAGUACACCUGGGCUGUACUCCAAAAGGUCUGGUGAGAGCUACUGUCUACAGGAUCAUUGGCAUGCAUUAGGAGAGGGCUGUCAAGGCACCAGAAUUUACAUAACAAAAGUAUCAGACUUUGGAAGUACCUUGGAGUCUCCUUUCUCCCCCAAAUCCUGCUCUUCCACAUUUGCUAUCCUGGCGUAUCCCACCCUGAGGAUAAAUCACACUUGGUUUCUGAAGCACCAGCGUUCAGAUGCUCACAUGAGACCCAAACUCACCAAGGCAUGAACCCGCAGACACAGUUGUAGUGACACUGCAGUCACUUUCGGAUCAUUUGCUUAUUUUGUUCUUGUAAUUAUUCUCCAUCUCUUCUCUGUUCUAAUGGUAAUAACAUUUGUAGCAAACACCUAUGUACUCGAGGGGUGGCUUGGGACAUACUGCUGCACACACAUCAAAAACCACCAGGCUUCAGAUGGUAUCAGUAUACCUCCAGUACAUCAAAUUACUUCAAAGAUCAAAACAUACUGUUAAAUUUGAAUGACUUAACAUACUGUAGAACCAAAAAAUGGAACAAACUUUCCCUUGAGGGAGGAUCCAGAUGACUCUGGUUGGUCUGUGUUCACAAAACAACCUCCCUCUGUUUAUGUAUCGCACUCCUCUUAUCUUGAUGCUACCUGAACACCUUUCCAAAGCAAUUAAAUCCAGGCAAGUUGUCAGGAAUUCUGACAUCAUCCUACAUUCUUUUUUUGUCCACAUCCAGGAGGAAAAAAAAAAAGAAAAAAAAAAAAGAGAUUAUUGUGGUGUUUUUCAUC